UACGUAGGGUGCAAGCGUUGUCCGGAAUUAUUGGGCGUAAAGAGCUCGUAGGCGGUCCGUCACGUCGGGUGUGAAAUUCCAGGGCUCAACCCUGGACCUGCAUUCGAUACGGGCGGACUAGAGUUCGGUAGGGGAGACUGGAAUUCCUGGUGUAGCGGUGAAAUGCGCAGAUAUCAGGAGGAACACCGGUGGCGAAGGCGGGUCUCUGGGCCGAUACUGACGCUGAGGAGCGAAAGCGUGGGGAGCGAACAGG
rnacentral:rRNA from 1 species